rnacentral:tRNA from 1 species
GAGGGUAUAGCUCAAGUGGCAGAGCACAUGCUUAGCAUGCAAGAGGUCCUGGGUUCAAUUCCCAGUACUUCCU